UCAAUCAUAGUCCGCUUUCCUGCGGGUUGUGAGUUUUGGCGGCAGAAUCAUGGUGGACAUAAUGGAACUCCCCAAAGCGCGCGUCAACGCCAGCAUGUUAUCACAGUAUAUCGAACGACCCGUGUGCUUCGUGGGGAAGCUGGAAAAGAUUCAUCCCACUGGAAAAAUGUUUAUUCUUUCAGAUGGAGAAGGAAAGAAUGGAACCAUUGAAUUGAUGGAGCCAGUAUGUUUAAAGUGAUAUACUCUCAUAUUUAAUUUGGGGGGGGGGUUCUUGUUAUUUCUGAUUUAGGUGAUGAAAAUGUGAAGGCUGCACUUGUAUGAUUUUAAAAGUCAAAUUCAUGCUCUCAUAUUUUGUCUUAUUUCCAUUUCUAACCUUCAGUGAUUCUUAGGGCACCAACAUUUCGGAAAGUAUCCCUUAAGUAUUGAUUGGAUAACAAUUUUUACUCCUUUAAAAAAUAAUCCAAAAGAUACAUAUGAAAAUCUUUUUUCCAAACUACUUCUUUCUUCUAUAAUCACAAGCCUGGUUUUAGCUAUAUGUGUGUGUGUGUGUAUACAUACAUAUGUGUAUGUAUAUAUAUUUGUUUUUAUAUAUUAUAUAUACAUAUUUGUUCUUUGAAAAACCUAUUCCUUUGUACAUAUUUUUAAAUUUUUAAAAAUUUCAUGUUCAAUGUGCUUAAAACAUCUUUGUGAUCUUUUAUGAAGACAAAUCCAUAUAUCAUUUGGUUACUCUAUA
rnacentral:lncRNA from 1 species